UGCGAGGGUGGCGGAAUUGGCAGACGCGCCAGACUUAGGAUCUGGUGCCUUCGGGCGUAGGGGUUCAAAUCCCCUCCUUCGCACCAA
rnacentral:tRNA from 1 species